rnacentral:rRNA from 1 species
GAUUUCUGGCUUGACGCGCUUGGCCCGCCUCGGUUACGAGUGUGAGUGCCGACGCGUGUCUGCCAUCCUUCUAGAGAACGGCCUUACCCUUCACUGGGCUGGGGUCGCGAUCUAGAUCUAUUACUUUGAAAAAAUUAGAGUGUUUAAAGCAGGCGUUUGCUGUGAAUACAUUAGCAUGGAAUAAUAAUUUAGGACUUUGGUUCUAUUUUGUUGGUUUCUAGGACUGAAGUAAUGAUUGAUAGGGACAGUUGGGGGUGCUAGUAUUCAGGGGCCAGAGGUGAAAUUCUUGGAUUCCCUGAAGACUAACUUAUGCGAAAGCAUU